rnacentral:rRNA from 1 species
UACGUAGGAUCCAAGCGUUGUCCGGAUUUACUGGGUGUAAAGGGUGCGCAGGCGGACUUAUAAGUCAGAGGUGAAAUCUCACAGCUUAACUGUGAAACUGCCUUUGAUACUGGGAGUCUUGAGUUCGGGAGAGGUGAGUGGAACUGCGAGUGUAGAGGUGAAAUUCGUAGAUAUUCGCAAGAACACCAGUGGCGAAGGCGGCUCACUGGCCCGAUACUGACGCUGAGGUGCGAAAGCGUGGGGAGCAAACAGG